CCCACGUCGGCCUCCCAUUGGCGAUCCGUUAACUCAUCCUAUUAUUUAUUAAAGGUACAUGAAUGGGUAAUUGCAAACUGUGAUAUUUGGCCGGACGACGGCUGAGACAAUCGAAAAAAAUCGCGAACAAGUCGGUGCGAAGGUCCGUGUGCGCUAGGGCCGCGUCGCGAGUGCCCCGAGAGGCCGUCGCCAGGGAGCCGCCUGUGGACAUAGCCGCAUGUUGUUGCAUUUCGGUGCCGCUCUGAGAUGGACGACGUGAAGCCGCGGCGCGACCGCGACCUCUCCAACGGGUAGUCGGUGGCAUGUCCGGAAAGGGCUAGCAUGGAGGAAGGGCCGGAUCUGUCUCACCUCACUCCCGAGGAGCGGGCCAUCAUCGAGUCCGUCAUGGUCCGGCAGAAGCAGGAGGAGGAGCGCGAGCAGGAGAUCAUGAGGAGAAAGGCCGACGAGGUGCACAUCUUGGAGGAGACGAUACGGGCCCGUAACGAACAACACAAGAAGGCCGGCAUCGAGCUGGACGCCACCUGCCACAUCUGCCUAAAGACGAAAUUCGCCGACGGCGUCGGCCACCUGUGCAACUACUGCUCGAUCCGGUGCUGUGCCCGCUGCGGGGGCAAAGUCACCCUCCGGUCGAAUAAGGUGGUGUGGGUUUGCAUCCUCUGCAGAAAAAAGCAAGAACUGUUGAGUAAGACUGGCCAAUGGAUGCUUGGCGGCACCAACGCCGACAGCGAGCUGCCGAGCCUCCAGCAGGCGCCCUCCGACAAACGGCCCAAGCUCGAGCGUGCCCAUUCGGCCGCCGAGAAGGAGAACCAACCUCUUCAGCGCUCCGGCAGCGUGCUUCGCCGACAAUACUCGGAACAAGAGACCCGCACGCCCUCGUGCGAGCGCUACAACCAGCAGUAUAACGAGGACGAUCCGCGUUUCUACCAAGGAGAGCUCGAAGGCCUCAUGCGGACGCACCCCCAUCUCGUCCCGAGACGCUAUCCGGACCACGAGCCCGAGCCCCUGCCCAUGGACAUCCCCCGGAUGCCCUCCGCAAGUGCCAACAAGAAACACAAGCGCAGCGGCUCGACGAAGAAACACCAGCACAACCCCCAGCCGCAGCUGCAGCGGUCCUUCUCCAGCUCGGAGGAGGACCUCAAGUCCACCCCCGAGUACGGCAGCGACGACCGCGACAGCGAGAAAGGAGACAACGGCGACUGGCCUCCCCUAAGCCACUAUAUCGUCGCCCCACAACACAGACCUCUGCAGGACGUCACCGCCGACAAUCGGUGCUUCACCGAACGCAGAAAGAAGACGGUCAGGUUUGACCAACACGAGAACUGGGACAGACAGGGAUCGCAGGACUCUCAUAGAGAUUCGGGGAUUGAUACCUCCUCGACCUUCACCUCCAGCGAGGAUUCCACUCGCGGAGACCUGCCCAAGCACCCGUUAUCUUGGCAAGUGUCCGCCAACGGAUGUCGAAUGAUCGGUCAUAUGAUACUCCGACGAGGAUCGAGGGAAACUUCCGGUUCUAGUGCGAAUAUCUUAGGACUGAAAGUGGUCGGAGGUAAAAUCCUCGAGAACGGUCUCAGAGGUGCGAUUAUCGAAAAAGUCAAAAAAGGAAGUAUCGCCGACAUUGAAGGCCAACUAAGGCCGGGUGAUGAAGUGAUUGAGUGGAAUGGUCGCCCUCUCCAAGGAAAAACAUAUCAAGAAGUAGCCGAUAUCAUAGCUGAGAGCAAACACGAAGCGAAUGUUGAGUUGAUCGUUUCCCGAAGUAUGGGAAGCAGACGAGCCGCCCAAGCGACCUGGAGGCAGUCUGUGGCCCAUAGAGGUCAGUCUGGUCAAUGGCAGCAGGAAGUGGAGGGUUACGAAAGACCGCACGUCCUCGUAACGUCGCCGGGGAGUCCCGAACGACCCAGACCCAGUCCCGCCUUGGCUCCCAGCGUCGGGGGCAGAAUACAAAUCAAGCUCGGUUUCGACCCCUCCACUUUGCAGUUGUUCGUCACGAUCGUGUGCGCGGCGGGCUUGACGCCGAGGUCGCCCCACCAGCCACGCAGUCCUUACUGCAAGCUCUUCCUCCUCCCGGACCGCUCCGAGAAGUCCAAGCGGCGGACUCGCACCCUCGCAGGAACGGAACCGAUGUGGAACCAAACCUUCGUCUACUCGGGCCUUCGUCGAGCGGACCUGCGGCAGCGCGCCUUGGAGAUCACCGUCUGGGACUAUGUCCGCUACGGCGCCAACAAUUUUUUAGGCGAGGCCAUCGUCGAAUUGUGGCCUUUGGACGAACAGCCCACUUGGCGGACCCUUGGGCCCCACGAGGAGGUGGCCUUGACGCCCAGCGAGCACUUGUCGCCCCCGAGCACCGGCUCGCGCUUCUCCGACUCGGACACGCCGUCCGAGUGCGAGAUCGACGGCGGGAGGGAGCGUCGCGGCGCCGACGGAGCCAGCGUCAGCAGCGUCGGCAGCUCAUCCUCGCCCCCUAACGAGCGGAGAUCCAGGAGAGACCAAGAGACGAUGCAAGCCUACGGCGCGCAGGGGUAUCGAAGAAGCAUGGCGGGCCAGAGGUCGCACUCGGCCGCGCCGUGCGACUCCCCCAGCGUGCACAUGUCGCGCUCCAGGUCCAAGUCGCCCCGACACACCGUCACCGACCACCGUUCCCUGUCGCCUCCCGACGUCCGUAUCGCCGUAGCCGACUACCAGCCGUCAUACGUCGUGCCUCGUUUCCAGUCCCGUUCGGCGACUGCGACCCCCACCGGAUCGCCGAAGAAACGCCAACUGCCCCAAGUGCCCCAAGCGCUGGCGCGCGCCCUCCAAGAGCGCGUGGCCCAAGACCUGGACCAGGACAGGGCCGGGAGGCACCGCAUGAGGUACAUGCACACGUACAGGAGCACCGGCUCGGGAUGGGAACGCAGAUAUAGUGGACUGAGUGAUAGUGAUUUGGCGAACCAUAGCCGGAAUGUCCGAAGGCCGGUGUCGCCGGACAGGGACAGGGACCCCCUAGGCUUGGUGGACUUUGAUAGUGACAUGGAAUCGGUCGGGUCUGUGACUAGUAGUGCGUUUUCCACGCAGUCGGAACGAAUCAGGAGCAACAAACCUGCCAGUACUGAAUAUGGUGGAGGUAGCGAUCGAUAUGGGUACACGACGAGUCAUCGCAGUGUCCCCAGAAACAGAGAAAGACAAGACUUGCGGGACCCUAUCGAGCCCAUCGACCAACACAACCAUCACCACCACCACCAUCACCACAGGGAAAGUAGCAUAAAAAGGGGGCAGUUUACGCGGAGCUUGUCGAACACGGAGCCCCCACCAGACGAAAAAGCAGAUGGCAGUCUGAGUGAUACUGCUGUGGGCCAGAUCCACGGUUUGGAAGUCCCUCAGAAGGAGAUGACGCGGAAGGAGAGCCAGCGGGAGCGGGAAAGGGAGCGGGCGGAUCGUCAGACGGGCCAGUUCGUAGGACUCAGUAAAAAGAGUAACUCGACAAGUCAGUUGUCGGCAACAGGUAGGAAACGGAGGAUGGGCUUCGGUCGAAGGGGCAAGACCUCGUUCACUGUUCAUCGAUCGGAGGAGGUUAUUCCCGGAGAUGUGAGGCUGUCCAAGCAAGGCUCCUCGGCUUCCAGUGACGGAGAAGGGUCGGCCGACGGCGACAGGUGGUCACCCUCUUUAAGACUGGCGGGCGAGAGUGGGCAACUGGCCGACUUCAUCGACGGUUUGGGACCAGGACAACUAGUAGGACGACAAGUGCUGGGAGCACCGGCUUUAGGCGAAAUCCAACUGAGUCUCUGCUACCAAAAGGGGUUCCUCGAAGUUGAGGUGAUACGAGCGCGGGGACUACAAGCCAGACCCGGAUCCAAAGUUUUACCAGCACCCUACGUCAAGGUCUAUCUAGUCAACGGCAAAAAAUGCAUAGCCAAGGCCAAAACCUCGACGGCUCGACGAACUUUAGAUCCGCUCUACCAGCAACAGUUAGCUUUCAGAGAGAAUUUCCAAGGCUGUAUACUCCAGGUGACCGUCUGGGGUGACUACGGGCGCAUCGAGGGCAAGAAAGUGUUCAUGGGCGUGGCCCAAAUCAUGCUCGAUGACCUCAACUUGAGCAACAUCGUCAUCGGAUGGUACAAACUCUUCGGCACCACAUCCCUGGUUAGUGGACCUCCUUCGCUCGGUCUCUCUCGACGCAGCUCCAUGGCUAGCUUAGAUUCCCUCAAGUUGUAACACUGACCAUUCCAUUGUUUCACACACACUGACUCGCGCCUGCUAUUUCUAUUUGUCACAUUAUCACUCCCUCAUUAUCAUCAUAGUGUCACCGAUCCUCGUAGUCUACGCAACUCUUCCACUUCGCUUAGUGAGGGCGAAUUCCGGCGUGGUUGGAGGCGACGUGACGGCGAGAGAAAGAAGACAGUCGCCGGAAUAUUCGCCGGUAGUGCGACAAACUUUGCAAAAACAUAUACAUGAGACUAUAUUCCGAUUUAAUGCAUUUCCGGCGAAUAUUAAUGAAAAAUAUUGUACUUAUCAGAGUAUUACGGUAUGGUGCGAAAAUUAUUAGCUGACAUUUAGAAGCAGAUUAAAAUAGAUACAUAUAGUGUAAAUGAAGUGAAAAAAGAUAUAUAAGUGUAGAUAUCACGCACACAUAUAAAUAUAGUAUCACAUAAAAUAUCAUAUCUAAAAUAUUUGUUAUAUGACGUCUGGGGCGGCCCAAAAAACUACCACCUAGAUUCAUAUGCGCGUGAUUACAACGAUCCACUUAAAAAUACAACAAAUGACUUGUAUUUUUCUGGGACGUCCUGUUCAAACAACAAAAAUGCUUCAUUGGAAUUGAUAAAUUGCUUUUUUACUUGAAACUAAGUAAUGACAUGAAAUUAGGUCGUGUUAAUGAACUAUGUAAAUUAUGAUAAUGACAUUGUAGAACUGUAUAUGAACGUUUAAUUGUACCAUAUAAUUUAUUCUUGAUUGUUGAAUUGCAUGUGAUAUAACUUGAAGAUUUUAUGUUGGCUGUUUGAAUUUCCCGCUUCGAUAAGAUAAUCUCCGUUCUGAAGCACAGGUGUCGCCACGUUUCCGUUUCGUUGUGUAUAAAACAUAUAACAUCGAAAACUGUAAUGUAAUCGAAGUUUCCCGCGAUUCGAUUUCAGAAUAUUCUCUCAUUUUUGUAACGUUUGUAAUGAAUUUUUAGAAAGGGGGCGUGUCGCUGAUAUUCGACUGUUUUUCCGCAGCCGACUGCUACGACACCGCGGUGUUUUUACUACCGAUUCGGCAAACAGUGCCAAAUCGGGUAUUAAAAAUGGCCGGUUUUUUAAAUUGUUUAGUAAAACAAUCCGAAUAAUGCUUCUAAGUCAUAGUAAAAGCUUUAAUCUGCUUGAAACCCAAAAUAUAUCAUACGUAACAACAAGAAUAAGAUUUUCCGAAACAACUAUAACCAUAAUUAUGAUUGUAUAUAAUUUUCGAAGAAUUGGGUUCAACUAAAAUGUAAUACACUGCAUACAGUUCAGAUGGUUGAUUUAAAUAUUAUAAAAGAUAUCAAUAGUUAGUUUUUCUACGCUGUUCUUUAAUAAAAUAAGACACCCACUUCAUGGAUCAUGUACUCCCAUUUGUUCCAAGGUCCGAACUGUAUUGUACCUUUUAUCAUUCCGAUUAAAUCAUUAUCAAUAACCGAGUGUAGAUAUGCGCCUUACAUACUGUUCGCAGCAGCCAGUCCGGCCCUGCGUCACUUUUCAAUAAAGGCCCGUGUAAAUUGCAUCAAUUGGACUAAAAUGCGGCAAGUAUGGCGUCGGACUGGCUCGUUGCACUUUUGUAUCUGUACCGGACCUUGAAGGGUUAAGAGACGACGAACAAAGCUGUCAUUUGCGCUUGAGACACUUCGGCUACUGAACUGUAUUUUAGUGUACGGUCCUUUGACAAUUUGCGCAUAUCACUGGAAGUGUCAGAAGCGUCCACUGUAUGUCCGUCUUGAUAUGUUCACUCUUGACUGAUGUAUCCAUUUUAUCCAAGCCCAUGGGCAAGACAAUAAAUGAAUGAUCUAUC